GACGAACGCUGGCGGCGUGCUUAACACAUGCAAGUCGAACGGAAAGGCCCUGCGUUUGUGGGGUGCUCGAGUGGCGAACGGGUGAGUAACACGUGAGUAACCUGCCCUUGACUUUGGGAUAACUUCAGGAAACUGGGGCUAAUACCGGAUAGGAGCUCCUGCUGCAUGGUGGGGGUUGGAAAGUUUCGGCGGUUGGGGAUGGACUCGCGGCUUAUCAGCUUGUUGGUGGGGUAGUGGCUUACCAAGGCUUUGACGGGUAGCCGGCCUGAGAGGGUGACCGGCGACAAUGGGACUAAGAUACGGCGCAGACUCGUACGGGAGGCAGCAGUGGAGAGUAUUGCACAGUGGGCGGAAGCCUGAGGCAGCAGCGCCGCGUGCGGGAUGACGGCCUUCGGGUGGUGAACCGCUGUCGCCUGUGACGAAGCGUGAGUGACGGUAAUGGGUAAAGAAGCAACGGCUAACUACGUG
rnacentral:rRNA from 1 species